rnacentral:lncRNA from 1 species
UAAUCUUCUUUUGCUUAGUAUGUUACCUUGGUACAUUGCAAGCUGAGAUUCUUUCAGUCUAUUUUCUUGUCUGUCUUUUAUUCUGAGAAUUAUGAAGUUAAUGCUUCUCUUGUUUCCUUAUAGGGGCGAAGUCCUGGCUUCACCAAUGUCAACGCUUGUGUUGACUAAAGGAGAACUUGAAUCCUUCUUAGAAGAGGAGAUGGGCAGGGUGCCAUCAGCUGGGUCUCCCUAACAGCAUGAGAGAUGGCGACACAUCUUGUGUUUGCAGCAAAGGCUGCUUUGGCUUACGUCUGUCCGGCUAGCAAAACAGCAAGCUGCCAAAAACAACAGUCCAAGUGAAAACAGAGUAAUAACACCAGCAGCGUGGGAGACAGCAGCCAAGGAGGAACACACGAGCCCCAGAGAACAGGCCAUCAAUUUUCUUGCUGUGGCUGGCUGGAGGAAACUGAAAUGUAUAUUGCAGUGGCUUCUGACGCCAGCCACUGCUUUAUGCUCCACACUUCGGACUCUAAAUAUGUUACCCUAAAAAUGAAGCAAAAAAUUCCCCAAGCUAUUAAUAGAUUUGUAUAAAGAAAUCCCUUGUAGUUUCUAAUCAUUUACAUCUGGGACUGAGAAACCAACCAUAAAAUGUCAGUAUGGCUAUUACAUGGGUCACUGGAACAGGUUUAUGUUAGCUAAUAUGCUGAAACAGUAGAUUAGGAAGAGGAUAGUUUAUGGUCUUUAGUUCAUUUGUUGACAGGAAGAAUCAGGAGCAGAUUUGUUUUAUGCCUGAACCCAUCACGGAACAACUAGGAACAGAACAGUGAUUAAAAUCCAGGCAACAGAAAUAGGAUAACGACUAGGCUGCAUAUAUAUUACUGUGGGUAAACUAGAUGUUUGUGAAGGGAAGGAGCUAAUGAGAUCACAGAAAUCAGCAGAGCAGAGCAGAGGGCUCCUGUGCAGCCCUCUGAAGUGACUCAGCAAAGUACAAUUGCUUGGCAUCCCAUUGCAGAGCU